UAGGGAAUCUUCCGCAAUGGGCGAAAGCCUGACGGAGCAACGCCGCGUGAGUGAAGAAGGAUUUCGGUUCGUAAAGCUCUGUUGUUAGGGAAGAAUGAUUGUGUAGUAACUAUACACAGUAGAGACGGUACCUAACCAGAAAGCCACGGCUAACUACGUGCCAGCAGCCGCGGUAAUACGUAGGUGGCAAGCGUUGUCCGGAAUUAUUGGGCGUAAAGCGCGCGCAGGUGGUUUAAUAAGUCUGAUGUGAAAGCCCACGGCUCAACCGUGGAGGGUCAUUGGAAACUGUUAAACUUGAGUGCAGGAGAGAAAAGUGGAAUUCCUAGUGUAGCGGUGAAAUGCGUAGAGAUUAGGAGGAACACCAGUGGCGAAGGCGGCUUUUUGGCCUGUAACUGACACUGAGGCGCGAAAGCGUGGGGAGCAAACAGGAUUAGAUACCCUGGUAGUCCACGCCGUAAACGAUGAGUGCUAGGUGUUGGAUCCUUUCCGGGAUUCAGUGCCGCAGCUAACGCAUUAAGCACUCCGCCUGGGGAGUACGACCGCAAGGUUG
rnacentral:rRNA from 1 species